rnacentral:rRNA from 1 species
CCUACGGGUGGCAGCAGUGAGGAAUAUUGGUCAAUGGACGGAAGUCUGAACCAGCCAUGCCGCGUGCAGGAAGACGGCUCUAUGAGUUGUAAACUGCUUUUGUACAAGGGUAAACCUGACUACGUGUAUUCAGCUGAAAGUACUGUACGAAUAAGGAUCGGCUAACUCCGUGCCAGCAGCCGCGGUAAUACGGAGGAUCCAAGCGUUAUCCGGAUUUAUUGGGUUUAAAGGGUGCGUAGGCGGGUUGGUAAGUUAGGGGUGAAAUGUCCGAGGUCAACGGGGGGAAGUGCCUUUAUAACGGUCUGUCUGGAGUGUGGAUGCGGUAGGAGGAAUGUGUGGUGUAGCGGUGAAAUGCUUAGAGAUCAGACAGAACACCGAUUGCGAAGGCAGCUCACGAAUCCAUAUCUGACGUUGAGGCACGAAAGCGUGGGGAGCAAACAGGAUUAGAUACCCGGGUAGUC